rnacentral:rRNA from 1 species
AUCCAGAUUCCGACGUGCGUGGAGAUGCCGAUCUUCCUCUGUCUGCGGUGCAGGGCGGACAUUAAUCGGAGGGUUUCAUGCACACAGAAGAACUAUAAUCAUCCGUCCUACGUGUGCAGCAAGAAUGGGGUGAAAUAUUUCUUCCUUUGGGUCGAUAUUCUGGCCAAGAUGCUGAUGAAUGAACUACUAGAAGAGCAUGAAGAAUGGUUACCCAUCUUGCCACGAACGGCAGCGGCCGCAACGCGAGCUCCGAAAGAAGAGAUGGAGGGCGAAGCAUGCAAUGACAGAGAGGUAGCUGUUGAGCUUAGGAGGUUGAACCAAAAGAUUAGGAAGCUCGAAGAUCAAGCACAAAUUUGUAAUUACAUUUGGGCAUUUGUAGGUAUGAUAAUGGCACUGGGUGUAAUGUUGAAAUUGUAUGGAAAUGCGUGA